rnacentral:rRNA from 1 species
AUUGAACGCUGGCGGCAGGCUUAACACAUGCAAGUCGAGCGGAGAUGAGGUGCUUGCACCUUAUCUUAGCGGCGGACGGGUGAGUAAUGCUUAGGAAUCUGCCUAUUAGUGGGGGACAACAUUCCGAAAGGAGUGCUAAUACCGCAUACGUCCUACGGGAGAAAGCAGGGGAUCUUCGGACCUUGCGCUAAUAGAUGAGCCUAAGUCGGAUUAGCUAGUUGGUGGGGUAAAGGCCUACCAAGGCGACGAUCUGUAGCGGGUCUGAGAGGAUGAUCCGCCUCACUGGGACUGAGACACGGCCCAGACUCCUACGGGAGGCAGCAGUGGGGAAUAUUGGACAAUGGGGGGAACCCUGAUCCAGCCAUGCCGCGUGUGUGAAGAAGGCCUUAUGGUUGUAAAGCACUUUAAGCGAGGAGGAGGCUACUGAGACUAAUACUCUUGGAUAGUGGACGUUACUCGCAGAAUAAGCACCGGCUAACUCUGUGCCAGCCGCCGCCGUAAGAC